UUGAAACACUGGUUCAUGUACAAUCAGCUAAGUUAAGCAAUAUUGAGCUUGAUCAGUACCUAGAUGGGUGACCACUUGGGAAUAUCAGGUGCUGUAAG